GUACCUUUCCCGGUUUUUUUUUUUGGGCUACGAUGAAGUGUAGUAUCUGUUUUUAUUAAUUUAAUAUUUGAUAUGUGGACUAUGUGUCCACUUUGAUAUUAAAUUUAUUUUUUUGGGAGAUGACCCAUCACAGUGGCUUGCCACUGGGGUCCUCGCGUGUCGCCAGCCGUUGCACUGCUGGCAGGGCCCGGCGCACCCCAA